AACGCAUAUUGCGCCCUUUGGCAUUCCGAAGGGCAUGCCUGUUCGAGCGUCAUUAUCAACCCUCAAGCUUAGCUUGUUAUUGGAUGAAAUUUUCUAUAAACGAUAAUUCAUCCCAAAGACAAUGGCGGUGUCUUUUAACCCUUGAUGCAACGAGCUUUUCAAAAGCACGCAUUUAAAGUGGUUAAUUGAUUCUUGACCUUUUUCAAAUAUUUUUAAAGGUUGACCUCGGAUCAGGUAGGAAUACCCGCUGAACUUAA
rnacentral:misc_RNA from 1 species